CGUACAUGUUAUAACUCAGAGUGGUGGAGCUACAGUAACAUGAAUAGACCCACCACCACUAAAAGAAAGAAAAAAAUUCUUCUGUCAAACAGAUCAAAUUUUGCACCAUUGACAAAUGAGAGACAAUACGAAACAAUAGAACUUUCAAAUUGCAUGAUGCAUCAAUCAAAUUGUAAUGAAAAUUUUGUUGUGGAAGGGGAGGAACAAGAUUCGAGGGUUGGAAGAGGGGAGGCGCAAGAGGAAGAAAUCUAGUGCUUGUGUAGCAGAUUCCUUCGUUAUACAGAAAAGCCUUUUCACAUCAUUAGAACAUUGAAAUGGAUGACAACUACAUAAUUAAAAAUCUCUGAAAAUGCAGAUGAGCAUUUGUUUCGGCGUACCUAGGGACAUCAUUCCCACAUG
rnacentral:misc_RNA from 1 species